rnacentral:lncRNA from 1 species
CUGGUUUUGUCAGAUCGUCUCCAAAGCAGCUCCCCCAGGUGUCACACUGCCUGUCAGAGAGGAGGGCUGGUGCAGCAGAGGUCUGUAGGAUCAUUUGUUCUAGAACAGCAUCAGACAAUUUCAACACAACAGAAGAGAGUAUCUCUCAAAGCUCUGAAGCUCCCAGAGGUGAUUGGAGAGGACAGCUGGAGGAUACAGACACCAUUAGUAUUCCCUGAGGAAAAGGCACUGCAUCUCCCAGGUGAAGGACUCAACAGUGUAGAAAGGUAAAUGCAGCUGAAGAACACAGCCAAGUCUGGCAGAACCCCCCCAUUCUGUGACCAUUUUGACAAUUUCAAGUUGUCUUGUAAAGUGCUGAGAGGUGCCUUUCUGCUCCUGCAAGAAGCCUGUGCUCCUCUGCAAACUGCUGCCAAGCUGCUGCAGGACCAGACUAGUUUAUCCCUGCAGUUCCCCUGGAGACAGAGCCAUCAUCCAGUGACAGUCCCACUUUGGGAGAGCUGCCUGGUUCUGCCAGCCUCUACCCAUUUACCCAGAGAGGAAAGCUGGGCCCUGUGACGUGAAGACUCUGCAGCAAGACACAAAUAAAACACCAGAAGACAUUAAAUACUCCUGUCUU